CUCUUCUCACAUUACUCUGGCAUCAAACUGAACACGAAUCACUGAGACUGUGCAGAGCAUCACACACCAAGGCGAUGGACCACCUCCAUGGGUACGCAGGCAAGCAGAGAUGACAGGCAACAAGCUCCUAGUCACCGCUAAGACUGAUGAACCUUGAAUGCUUUACAAUGGAAAUUGCCUUCCUGCCCCCUUGCAUUGUCAGGCAAUGCCAAGUAUGACCUACUUUAAGACAUACGGCUCCAGGGGCCUGGCCUUGGCAAGCUCAGCAGGCGACGUGUAUGUCAUCUCAUCAUUACCAUCAUCUGGCGUUUGGACAGCCCCUGUCUCUCCCCUGUCCAAGGCCAGCUCACAAGGUCAAUCAAGCAUUUUAAGCCCACUCUAUGAGAUGCUGUGUACACUAUCAGUCAAAUGUUUCUGGAGAUUUUCUACAUGUGCAUGUCGCUCAUGUAACAUUUACUGGAUAUUCUUUGCUGACAAAUAAAUUCACUGCAUGUU